GGCUUCCACAACAAGUUACCAAACCCUGGGUGGCUUAAAACAACAGGAUUUCAGGUUCUCGUCAUCUGGAGGUCUGAAGUCUGGAGUCAAGGAAUCAGCACGGCUCUGCUCACUCCGAAGGCUCCAGGAGAGAACCUUUCUUUGCUUCUUCCAGCAUCUGGUGGCUGCAGGCAUUCCCUGGAUUGUGGCAAAGUGUGUGGUGCAACAGCAGAGUGGAAAGAGAAUGUGUGGAUCAGACAUACCUGGGUGGAAACUGACUUUACCAACGACUGGCUGGCUGCAAGACCUUGGCGAUUAUCCUUAACCUAGCCUCAGUCUCAACCUGUGACACGGCAAUGGCAGCUUAGAGAGGUUAAGCUACUUGAGUCACACCCGUGUCAGGUGGAGGAGCUGAACCUUGGAUGCAGGAGUAUCCGUUUCUACUGUCUCAACUCUUCCUAACUGCUUUGGAAUGACAGAAUGAGGAAAUGCACCCAACGUGAAUUUUGCGUUCACCAUUACCUGCAAAAUGUCAGUGGCUAAUGCCAGCUUUGGCUGACUGUCCUGAUAUCCAGAGCAAUGGUUCCUAAAUUUUGGUCCACGGUCCAGUGCCAGCUUAGGACCAAGGAUUCACAGUCUUUGAUGUGAGGAAAAUAAGAACAUAAAAUUGGCCAGGCGUGGUGGCUCACGGCUGUAAUCCCAACAAUUUGGGAGGCCCAGGCGGGCAGAUCACCUGAGGUUGGGAAUUCAAGACCAGCCUGACCAACAUGGUGAAACCCCAUCUCUACUAAAAAUACAAAAACUAGCUGCGCAUGGUCGCGCAUGCCUGUAAUCCCAGCUACUCAGGAGGCUGAGGCAGGAGACUCACUUGAACCCGGGAGAUGGAGGUUGCAGUGAGCUGAGAUCACACCACUGCACUCCAGCCUGGGUGACAGAGCGAGACUCCAUCUCAAAACAAACAAACAAACAAACAACAAACAAAAAACCCAUAAAAUUAAAUGUAUUAAAUUAAAGAACUGCCUUAACUAUGA